UGCUGAUGCUCACUUGUUCAUCUCUUCCAACCUCUGCAAACAAAGUGGGAAAUCGGAUUUUUCUGAACACCCAGAUGACAACGGGAGAGGAGGUUGGAGAGCUCUUGGCUGAAUUGUGUCCCCCAGAAUUAUACAAUGAAGUUCUAAUGCACAGUGUGUGACUGAAUUUGGAGACAGCCUUUACAGAGGUGAUUAAGUGAAAAUGAGGUCAUGAGGGUGGGUUCUUCUCCAAUCUGACUGGUGUUCUCCUGAGAAGAGAAAAUUUGCACACAUAGAAAUGAGACACUAGAGAUGAGCAUGCGGAGGAAAAACCAUGUGAUGACACAGCAAGGAGGUAGCCACCUGCAAGCCGAGGAGAGAGGCCUCAGGGAAAACCAAACCCACCAACACCUUUAUCUUGACUCCCCAGCUUCAGAACUGUGAGAAAAUAAGUGUCUGCUCUUUAGGCCAGCAGGUCUUUGGUAUCUCAUUAAGGUAGCACUAGCAAAUGAAAAUAAAAGGGACCCCAAAGACCUUGGGUGCCAGAGAAGGAGGAGAUAAAAGAUGGUGCAGGAGGCGGGGCAGGGAGGGGCUGGAAGUUCAGGCUCUGAGGUGCAUCUCUUGGGUGCCAUCCUGACUCCACUCACUGCUGUCUGGGGACUUGGGGAAGAAUCAUUAACCUCCCAAUAUUAAUUCCAUAAUAAAGAUUGGGUCUUGAGCAUAGGGCUGCUCAUCCUCCUAUUCCAUAUGAUGCAAAUCUUCUUGAGGUCAUGCUUGUAAAACACUCAGCAAUGUAUCUGGCAUACACUAUGGCCUCAGAAGUGGUUAUUCUGAAUUUUCUAGUGAUACAUAGAGAAUGGCAUUGUUCCUGUGGGCAGAGGAGGCACUGUGGACCUUGGUUUGAGGACUCAGAAAGACACCAAGUCCCCUGGUAGUGCUCAAGUGCGAAGAGCAUCACAGAUGCUUCCUCCCAGGCCCCUUCUAUUGGGUAAAAUUUAGUCUCCACUCCUGACACCCAUCUGGUCCUUCUUCUGACCUUGGCAAAUUGUCAGUAUGAAGGGCGAAGGCUCAGGGCUCAGAUGGGAGCUGGGACAGGAACACUGGGGAAUGCGGAGUAGAUUUGCAUUCACUGCUCAUCAGGGAGCCCACCCAACAAGGAUACAAGAAUAAAAAAGUAGAUUUGCAUGAAGAGCCUCUCCUUCCUAUGAUAAGAGAGGGCUGAAGGUCCCUCCCCGUUGUGGGCUCAGAGAUAGAGCUCUGGAGCAUCUCCACCGUGGCCUGGACCCCUCCCCUGCUCACCCUCCUCACUCUCUGAACUGCCUCCCAGGGCUCAGCCCCCAAAGGACCAGAGAUCAGCCUGGACCUGAACUUCAGCUCAGCACAGGGAGUGAUGGAGAGUGUGGGGUCUGGGAAUGACCCUCAUCCUCAUAAUUACCUCUCCUGUCCUCUCUUGUAGGCUCUGUGGCCUCCCGUAAGCUGACUCCAGAGACAGCAGUGUCUGUGGACAGUCAGCAAGGGUAACCUGCCAGGGAGAAAACCUAAGAAGCCAUGGUACAAACUGGUACCAGCAGAACCCUGCCAGAUGCCUGUGCAGGUCAUACAUGGUAACAACAACCAGCCCUCAGGGAUCCCAGACCAAUUCUCUGGCUCCAAGUCAGGAACACAGCCACCCUGACCAUCACUGGGGCUCAGGUUGAACAUGAAGCUAUUACCGUCACUCAUGGGACAACAGUGGUACUCAUCUCACAGUGACACAGACAGAUUGGAAAGUGAGAUCUAAAGACCUUCACUGUCUGUAUCACAGACAUAGCAGGACUGAGCAGGGCUGGCCCGGGUCACCUGGAUCGAAGCCCUCCAGGCUGCCCUUCCCUCCAGUCCUCCCGGCAGACUGCAGAGAGUAGGUUAGGAUAGGAUUUGGGGCUGGCAGAACCAGGCUGUCCUGCUGUUAUUUGGAAUGGAUGUACCUUGGCUCAAGAUGACCUGAGUGGAAGGACAGUAAGAGGGAGACAGCUACUGAGUGCUCAUGGUCCCUGAAUUUCCUCCUGUGUGUUGACCGAACCCAAGACAGUGCCUCUACUCUGUGGCCCAAAUACCCUGGAUUAUUUCUCUGAACUGCCCAUGUUUAACUGAGACCCUCAAGCCCCAGCUUUGUGCAUCCUGAUGUUCUGAACAUGGAAGCCUUUCAUAGUGUGCACUGUGA